rnacentral:rRNA from 1 species
UAGCGGCGAGCGAAGCGGGAAGAGCUCAAAUUUAUAAUCUGGCACCUUCGGUGUCCGAGUUGUAAUCUCUAGAAGUGUUUUCCGCGUUGGACCGCACACAAGUCUGUUGGAAUACAGCGGCAUAGUGGUGAAACCCCCGUAUAUGGUGCGGACGCCCAGCGCUUUGUGAUACACUUUCAAUGAGUCGAGUUGUUUGGGAAUGCAGCUCAAAUUGGGUGGUAAAUUCCAUCUAAAGCUAAAUAUUGGCGAGAGACCGAUAGCGAACAAGUACCGUGAGGGAAAGAUGAAAAGCACUUUGGAAAGAGAGUUAACAGUACGUGAAAUUGUUGGAAGGGAAACGCUUGAAGUCAGACUUGCUUGCCGGAGCUUGCUUCGGUUUGCAGGCCAGCAUCAGUUUUCCGGGGUGGAUAAUGACGGUUUGAAGGUAGCAGUCUCGGCUGUGUUAUAGCUUUCCGUUGGAUACAUCCUGGGGGACUGAGGAACGCAGCGUGCUUUUUGCGAAAGACUCGUCUUUUUCACGCUUAGGAUGCUGGUGGAAUGGCUUUAAACGACCCGUCUUGAAACACGGACCA